CUCUUGUUGAGGUGCGACCAGUGGAAGGCAAUGAGUUCUUUUUGAAGGUGUUUUGUGAACAAAGGCCUGGUGGAUUUGUGAGGUUAAUGGAGGCAAUGAGCUCCUUGGGGCUAGAGGUCACCAAUGCUAAUGUUACCACCUUCAAGGCUCUUGUACUUAAUGUUUUCAGAGUGGAGAAAAGAAAUAGUGAAGGAGUUCAAGCAGAGCAACUGAGAGAUUCAUUACUGGAAGUGACGAGAGAAGCAGGAGGAGAAUGGAUGGAAAUAGUCUCUAAUGAUAUCAUGAAAGAUUUUCACCACCACCAUGGUCGCCUCAAUGACCAAUACCAUCUUCAUUGAUUGCAUAUCUAUGAGUUAUUGUGGUAUUGAAUGUUUAUUUGCCUCAAUAAGUAGUGAAAUUAUGUUUGAUGUAAUGUAAUUGUUAAGGAGAGAAUAGUUUAUAAUAUCACAAGUUUAGAUUGGUUUCCCCAUAAGAUUUUAUUAAAGGGAGCUAAGUGGAUGUUGUGGUUACAUGCAUAUUUAUUUUUGUAAUGAUCAUUUUGUGUUGCAUGAAUUUUAUUGUAUCAGAACACGUAAAGGGAAUGUAGCUUUUCACA